rnacentral:rRNA from 1 species
AGAGCGAACGCUGGCGGCAGGCUUAACACAUGCAAGUCGAACGGAUCCUUCGGGAUUAGUGGCGGACGGGUGAGUAACACGUGGGAACGUGCCUUUUGGUUCGGAACAACUCAGGGAAACUUGAGCUAAUACCGGAUGUGCCCUUCGGGGGAAAGAUUUAUCGCCAUUAGAGCGGCCCGCGUCUGAUUAGCUUGUUGGUGAGGUAAAGGCUCACCAAGGCUACGAUCAGUAGCUGGUCUGAGAGGAUGACCAGCCACAUUGGGACUGAGACACGGCCCAAACUCCUACGGGAGGCAGCAGUGGGGAAUCUUGCGCAAUGGGCGAAAGCCUGACGCAGCCAUGCCGCGUGAAUGAUGAAGGUCUUAGGAUUGUAAAAUUCUUUCACCGGGACGAUAAUGACGGUACCCGGAGAAGAAGCCCGGCUAACUUCGCGCCAGCAGCCGC